rnacentral:rRNA from 1 species
AGUGAACGCUGGCGGUAGGCCUAACACAUGCAAGUCGAACGGCAGCACAGUAAGAGCUUGCUCUUACGGGUGGCGAGUGGCGGACGGGUGAGGAAUACAUCGGAAUCUACUUUUUCGUGGGGGAUAACGUAGGGAAACUUACGCUAAUACCGCAUACGACCUACGGGUGAAAGCAGGGGAUCUUCGGACCUUGCGCGAUUGAAUGAGCCGAUGUCGGAUUAGCUAGUUGGCGGGGUAAAGGCCCACCAAGGCGACGAUCCGUAGCUGGUCUGAGAGGAUGAUCAGCCACACUGGAACUGAGACACGGUCCAGACGCCUACGGGAGGCAGCAGUGGGGAAUAUUGGACAGUGGGCGCAAGCCUGAUCCAGUCAUACCGCGUGGGUGAAGAAGGCCUUCGGGUUGUAAAGCCCUUUUGUUGGGAAAGAAAAGCAGCAGGUUAAUACCCCGCUGUUCUGACGGUACCCAAAGAAUAAGCACCGGCUAACUUCGUG